CGGGGUGGAGUAACGCGUGAGGAACCUGCCUCAAAGAGGGGGACAACAGUUGGAAACGACUGCUAAUACCGCAUAAGCCCACGGCUCGGCAUCGAGCAGAGGGAAAAGGAGUGAUCCGCUUUGAGAUGGCCUCGCGUCCGAUUAGCUAGUUGGUGAGGUAACGGCCCACCAAGGCAACGAUCGGUAGCCGGACUGAGAGGUUGAACGGCCACAUUGGGACUGAGACACGGCCCAG
rnacentral:rRNA from 1 species